UUUCUAGCUCUGGCGACAAAGGAUUGCAGCAAAUAUAUCUGUUGAAAUCUCACAUCCCAAAAUUUUCUCAAGAAAUCAUCAGCAAAGAUGCAAAUGAAAUUUUCGGGUGGGAAGUCUGGGUUAUCUUCUCUAAGCAUGAUAAAUGGAAAUGCUGGUAAAAUUUUCAUUGGAGAUAAUUCAAUGUUACAGCAACCAGAUAUAUGGUAUGAUGCGAAAAUAUGUGGUCCAGUUCCAUGAAUUAUGCUAGCAACUCCAGCUUUCUCUGUGAUCUAGUAUGACAUCCAUCCUUUCUACCUAGUGGGGGUCAUGACGGUGGGAUGUUGUAUUAGCAUCCUCUGUAGUGGUCACAGAAAAAAAAAUUCCAAUGGAGAUGGCAAGUUCUAUCAAUCUUUUGUUAUUUAAUCAUCGGAUGGACUUCCAAAAAUAUGGCAUUUUCACUUGGAAUUUUGAUUGUUUAUAAUUUAUAAUUAAAAUGUGGUCAAGGUAGACUACCAAGGCUAGAAAAUACGAAUAAUUGUUUUUGUUGUAUAAAUAGGGUUGAUCUCAAUACUAGAAAAUACUAAUCAUUGAUUUUGUUGUAGAAAUGGCGCUUAACAUCACACCAAAGGUAGAUAGUCGACAAAUUAUAACCGUUUUCAUUGAAGCAACUUUUAAGAGCUUUUCGUCAGGUUCUAUCAAUUAAGAUUGCAUAUAAUUGUGGCAUAAAAUGGAAAAGGUGGUUAUUUGGCGGCAUGUUGAUAAAAGCUCCACUAACUUGGUGAAAUUCUCUUAUGUUGGAAAUUACAUAUUUGAUAGAAGAGUACAUCAUUUCAUGUUUAUUGGUUUGUGAAUAUAGAAUUUUCUUUUUGAGAAAAUGUGUAUAGAUUUUAACUUUGUGGAAAUCUCUUAUGUUGGAAAUUACAUAAUUGAUAGAAGAGUACAGCAUUUCAUGGUUUAUUGGUUUGUGAAUAUAGAAUUUUCUUUUUGAGAAAAUGUGCAUAGAUUUUAACUUGGUGAAAUUCUCUUAUGUUGGAAAUUACAUAAUUUAUAGAAGAGUACAGCAUUUCAUGUUUUAUUGGUUUGUGAAUAUAGAACAUUCUUUUUGAGAAAAUGUGUAUUGAUUUUAUCUUUGCCAAAAUGGUACACCUAGCAAUUUCAUUAACAAAGCCACACCCACUAUAAUAAAAUGAGAAAGAAUGAAUGAAGUUGAGUGCAAAUUAUGGAUUAUUAUUUGAACUUUGGAUAAACUAAUGAAAAGUAGAUAAAUGAUGCGAUGAUGAUCCACAUUGCAUUUACAAACUUUAUACUACUAGUUUUGGUUACCCAAUUCCUUGUUGAAUUACUCACUUUUUGUAGCUCGUCACAUUUCUUUAGUUUUUCCCAUACUUAAUCCUAGUUAAAUCAGGCAGGCUCCAUUUUCAGAUGGAGAAGAAAGAGUUUGGAAGUCUUUGAUGAACAUAUAUUUGAUUCAACGUUAUGCUGUCUUAAUCCAAGCAACGGAACAAUUUGGUAGCAUUUGCCAACACAUACUGACGUGUCUUUCUGUUCAGACGCCUUUGCCCUCGCUUCAAGUUUGACACGCGUAAAUUUUUUAAAAUGCCAGUUAGCUAUAAAUCGGAGUCUUGCUCUUUAGGAUUAUCACAGUGGUUGGGU